AUGUGAUCCUGUGCAUAAUCAUCUUUGUGAAAGUUUCAGGACAUUAUUGCUACAGUGUCAGGAGUUUCCCAGGCAGGACUGGCAUCCCUCUGAAGUUAUGCUAAGGUCUUAGAAAAUCUGAGAAGCUGCAAUUGCUUGGAAGGUAGGUCUACAUGGUGCUCUGAAGGCUAUUUCUGCCCAAUCCUGCUUCCUCCUGCUUUCAUCUUUCACAGGAAAUCAGGACAAAGAUACACAGAGAAGAAAGGCCAUGGAAAGGCUCAUGGAGAAAAUGGCCACCUACAAGCCAAGAAGAAAGCCUCAGAAGGAACCAACAAUGAUGACACUUUGAUCUUGGACUUCCGGCCUCCAGAAUGAUGAGAAAAUAAAUUCCCGUUGUUAAAGCCACCCAGCCCGUGGUACCUUGAGGCUGAAAAUGCAGGCAAGGACCUGAUGAAGGAGAU
rnacentral:lncRNA from 1 species